rnacentral:tRNA from 1 species
GAUCCCGUAGCUCAGUUGGAUAGAGUAUCGGUUUCCGAAGCCGGCGGUCAUGAGUUCGAAUCUCAUCGGGAUCA